UGUCCAGACUCCUACGGGAGGCAGCAGUGGGGGAUAUUGCACAAUGGGGGAAACCCUGAUGCAGCGACGCCGCGUGGGCGAAGAAGUAUUUCGGUAUGUAAAGCCCUAUCAGCAGGGAAGAAGAAAUGACGGUACCUGAGUAAGAAGCACCGGCUAAAUACGUACCAGCAGCCGCGGUAAUACGUAUGGUGCGAGCGUUGUCCGGAUUUACUGGGCGUGAAGGGGGCGCAGGCGGCGCGCCAAGCCCGAUGUGAAAGCCCGGGGCUCAACCCCGGGACUGCAUUGGGAACUGGCGUGCUGGAGUGCCGGAGGGGCAGGCGGAAUUCCUGGUGUAGCGGUGAAAUGCGUAGAUAUCAGGAGGAACACCGGUGGCGAAGGCGGCCUGCUGGACGGAUACUGACGCUGAGGCCCGAAAGCGUGGGGAGCGAACAGGAUUAGAUACCCUAGUAC
rnacentral:rRNA from 1 species